UACGGAGGGUGCAAACGUUGCUCGGAAUCAUUGGGCGUAAAGCGCACGUAGGUGGCCUGUUAAGUCGGGUGUGAAAUCCCUGGGCUCAACCCAGGAAGUGCACUCGAAACUGGCAGGCUUGAGUACUGAAGAGGGUCGCGGAAUUCCCGGUGUAGAGGUGAAAUGCGUAGAGAUCGGGAGGAACACCAGCGGCGAAGGCGGCAACCUGGACAAGCACGUGACACUCAACUGCGAAAGCGUGGGGAGCAAACAGGGAU
rnacentral:rRNA from 1 species